GAGAGAGAGAGAAAAACUCAUUUUUAGAGAUAGAGAAAGAAAAAGCACUGGAGAAGUAGGGGAAAGUGUUGGGACGAAGAAGCUCUAGAAGAGAGAGAGAGAGAAACCCAUUUAGGCACGCCAGAUAAUCCCACUCAUGAGAAAGAUAGACUAAGCCCAUCGCUCGAGGAGAAGGAGAAACACAGAAAAAAAAGAUGUUUUGUAUCGAUGAAUCCACUCAAGCCUUGUCAAAAUGGAAGCUUAAUUGGCGAAAGAUAGAGCUUAUCAAAAAGAGGAUUCCAGGCGUUAUGUAGUUGUUGCUCAUGAAUUGUUAGUAAAGAACACACCAGUUGCACUAGAGAAGAGUGAAGGGUGAUGAGGAGGAUAGUGAAAGCAAAGAGGAUGGUGAGGAGCAAAAUGGAGGAAGGGAGAGUGAAGCCGAGGAGGACGAUGAGACGAGAACAAAGUCUAGAGAAGACCAGUAUUACGGUCUUGCUAUGCCUGAGGAACCCAGAUGGGAACGUCGACCAAAGGUGAAAGGCAAGGGUGUACUUAGAUGGGGGCCUCUUACAUAUUUGUAAUUUAAAGACUAGUAGUUGGAUAUGUGCAAACUCAAUUUUGUAGGCACAUUUUGAUGUAGUGCCUUGCCCUCAAACUCUGCCUAUUAUUAACAUCUAUUUAAGACAGUAACCUUUCUCAAAUGAAUUCUAUUUCUCA